rnacentral:rRNA from 1 species
CGCGUAGGCGGACAUUUAAGUCAGGGGUGAAAUCCCGGGGCUCAACCCCGGAACUGCCCUUGAUACUGGGUGUCUUGAGUUCGAGAGAGGUGAGUGGAAUUCCGAGUGUAGAGGUGAAAUUCGUAGAUAUUCGGAGGAACACCAGUGGCGAAGGCGGCUCACUGGCUCGAUACUGACGCUGAGGUGCGAAAGUGUGGGGAGCAAACA